rnacentral:rRNA from 1 species
GUGCCAGCCGCCGCGGUAAGACAGAGGGUGCAAACGUUGUUCGGAAUUACUGGGCGUAAAGCGCGUGUAGGCUGCUUGGAAAGUCGGAUGUGAAAGCCCUGGGCUCAACCUAGGAAGUGCAUUCGAAACUUCUGAGCUUGAGUAUCGGAGAGGAUCGCGGAAUUCUCGGUGUAGAGGUGAAAUUCGUAGAUAUCGAGAGGAACACCGGUGGCGAAGGCGGCGAUCUGGACGAUUACUGACGCUGAGACGCGAAAGCGUGGGGAGCAAACAGGAUUAGAAACCCGGGUAGUCC